rnacentral:rRNA from 1 species
UACGUAGGGCGCAAGCGUUAUCCGGAAUUAUUGGGCGUAAAGAGCUCGUAGGCGGUUUGUCGCGUCUGCUGUGAAAUCCCGAGGCUCAACCUCGGGUCUGCAGUCGAUACGAGCAAACUAGAGUGUUGCAGGGGAGACUGGAAUUCCUGGUGUAGCGGUGAAAUGCGCAGAUAUCAGGAGGAACACCGGUGGCGAAGGCGGGUCUCUGGGCAACAACUGACGCUGGAGGAGCGAAAGCGUGGGGAGCGAACAGG